GGCAAAUUGUAUUCCUCUGGCCUAUAAAUAGGGAUAUAUCGGUGACCAGAGAAAGCCAUCGAAAGAAAUAUGAGGGAGACACAGUUCAAAGGGCACGUUGUGGUGCUUCCAUAUCCAAGCCAAGGCCACAUUAACCCUCUUCUCCAAUUCGCUAAGCGUUUAGCCUCCAGAGGUCUCAAGGCUACAUUGGCCACUACCCAUUACACCGUCAAGUCCAUAUGCGCUCCAAAUGUCACUGUUGAACCCAUUUCCGAUGGCUUUGAUGAAGCUGGUUUUGCUCAGGCCAGGAACGUGGACUUGUACCUCAAGUCCUUCAAGGCCAACGGCUCAAGAACUCUU
rnacentral:misc_RNA from 1 species